rnacentral:rRNA from 1 species
CCUACGGGUGGCAGCAGUGGGGAAUAUUGGACAAUGGGCGAAAGCCUGAUCCAGCCAUGCCGCGUGUGUGAAGAAGGCCUUCGGGUUGUAAAGCACUUUCAGUGGGGAAGAAAGCCUUGGGGCUAAUACCCUCGAGGAAGGACAUCACCCACAGAAGAAGCACCGGCUAACUCCGUGCCAGCAGCCGCGGUAAUACGGAGGGUGCGAGCGUUAAUCGGAAUUACUGGGCGUAAAGCGCGCGUAGGCGGUCUGAUAAGCCGGUUGUGAAAGCCCCGGGCUCAACCUGGGAACGGCAUCCGGAACUGUCAGGCUAGAGUGCAGGAGAGGAAGGUAGAAUUCCCGGUGUAGCGGUGAAAUGCGUAGAGAUCGGGAGGAAUACCAGUGGCGAAGGCGGCCUUCUGAACUGACACUGACGCUGAGGUGCGAAAGCGUGGGUAGCAAACAGGAUUAGAUACCCGUGUAGUC